rnacentral:rRNA from 1 species
GACGAACGCUGGCGGCGUGCCUAAUACAUGCAAGUUGAGCGCUGAAGGUUGGUACUUGUACCGACUGGAUGAGCAGCGAACGGGUGAGUAACGCGUGGGGAAUCUGCCUUUGAGCGGGGGACAACAUUUGGAAACGAAUGCUAAUACCGCAUAAAAACUUUAAACACAAGUUUUAAGUUUGAAAGAUGCAAUUGCAUCACUCAAAGAUGAUCCCGCGUUGUAUUAGCUAGUUGGUGAGGUAAAGGCUCACCAAGGCGAUGAUACAUAGCCGACCUGAGAGGGUGAUCGGCCACAAUGGGACUGAGACACGGCCCAAACUCCUACGGGAGGCAGCAGUAGGGAAUCUUCGGCAAUGGACGAAAGUCUGACCGAGCAACGCCGGGUGAGUGAAGAAGGUUGUCGGAUCGUAAAACUCUGUUGGUAGAGAAGAACGUUGGUGAGAGUGGAAAGCUCAUCAAGUGACGGUAACUACCCAGAAAGGGACGGCUAACUACGUG